GUCCGUGUGGUGCAGUGGUUAACGCGACUGCCUAGAAAGCAGGAGGUCCUGGGUUCGACUCCCGGCCUGGUACA